rnacentral:rRNA from 1 species
GACGAACGCUGGCGGCGUGCUUAACACAUGCAAGUCGAACGGAAAGGCCCCUUUGGGGGUACUCGAGUGGCGAACGGGUGAGUAACACGUGAGUAACCUGCCCUUGACUUCGGGAUAACUUCAGGAAACUGGGGCUAAUACCGGAUAGGAAUCCUUGCUGCAUGGUGGGGGUUGGAAAGCUUCGGCGGUUUUGGAUGGACUCGCGGCUUAUCAGCUUGUUGGUGGGGUAGUGGCUUACCAAGGCUUUGACGGGUAGCCGGCCUGAGAGGGCGACCGGCCACAUUGGGGCUGAGAUACGGCCCAGACUCCUACGGGGGGCAGCAGUGGGGAAUAUUGCACAAUGGGCGGAAGCCUGAUGCAGCAACGCCGCGGGCGGGAUGACGGCCUUCGGGUUGUAAACCGCUUUCAGCAGGGGCGAAGCUUGUGGUGACGGUACCUGCAGAAGAAGCACCGGCUAACUACGUG